GACGGGACCCCGCACAAGCGGUGGAUCAUGUUGUUUAAUUCGAUGAUACGCGAAGAACCUUACCAGGUCUUGACAUCCCCCGCGAUGCUUUAGAGAUAAAGCGGAGGUAUUCGGGGAGACAGGUGGUGCAUGGUUGUCGUCAGCUCGUGUCGUGAGAUGUUGGGUUAAGUCCCGCAACGAGCGCAACCCCUAUUGCUAGUUACCAUCAUUAAGUUGGGGACUCUAGCGAGACUGCCAGUGAUAAACUGGAGGAAGGUGGGGAUGACGUCAAAUCAUCAUGCCCCUUAUGACCUGGGCUACAAACGUGAUACAAUGGCUGGAACAAAGGGAUGCGAAGCAGUGAUGUGGAGCGAAACCCAUAAAAACAGUCUCAGUUCGGAUUGAAGUCUGCAACUCGACUUCAUGAAGUCGGAAUCGCUAGUAAUCGCGGAUCAGAACGCCGCGGUGAAUACGUUCUCGGGGUUU
rnacentral:rRNA from 1 species